GUGUCACCUCUGAGCCACUGUUGUCAGGGCUAGUAACGCUGAUUCAUUUAUUUGUGUUGGUUUGUUUUUUAAAGAAACUUUAACUAUAUGAGCCCAUCCCCCCUAUGCGUUUAUUUCCCCACCACGUGGUUGCUCGAGUCUGGGUGGGUAUUACUGGAGACGAUGGGGCAGGAAGCACCCGCCCAUCAGCAAAGGAGACAUUUGCUUUGGAUACGAGUAGCAGAGUGAACAGCAAAGGCUGGAAGGAAAUACAGGAAAAUAAACAGCACCUGAUGACACACAUCCCUGGGUUGAUUAAACCUCAGUCUGGCAAAGGGACAAGGAACGGGAGAGCUCCUUCUCCACCAUCUCUGCACCCUGCCUAACACCUGCAUCUUACCCCAUUUGCAUGACCUAUGGGACAAGUGGCAGAGGAGGGGUUGGUCCCCUCCUCCCCCCAAGAUCACCUAAUUGCCUUCCACGCUGUCUUUGGGAAGUUCCAAGAGGUCGGCUCAGACACAGAACCCUCUCCCCACAGGCAGGUGCCUCGGCCUGAUGAUUCGGAAUUGACCCGGCCUUUGCAAGUGACCCGUGCUGCUGUCUCAGGGGACACGGCCCAUUGGCUGCAGGUUGAAACUACAGCGUUUGUGCCUUCACGCUGCUCUUCAGCAGCUCUGGAUUACUCAGGUUGAGUCCUCUCCCCCACUGGCUGCAUAUACGUGGAUCAGUCAGCAGUUUUUAAAGCCUCCAUUUCCAACAAGUAACAUCAAUUGCUCUAUGAUUCUACCCUGUUGCUGCACACAGCAUUUACUACGUUUGGCUUCCCCUCUCCACUUGGAAGGCAAAGGUCUGGUGCAAGGGGCGGCCCCGUACUCAGCAUGAGAAACAAACUGGAGUUACACCUACGGCUUAUUUUAUUGUAUUUUUAUUUGCAUGAGGAGUUGAAACAAACUUUAGGGGUUUACUAAACAGGAACUGUUCAUGUCAAACAAACUAUAGUUAGCAGGUGAUGGGGGAAGGGGGGCACAGCAAUCCUGGGGAAGGCAGAAAUGGAGGGGGGAAGCGGCUGAUGUCUUUUUACAUGUGCACACACUAAACCUGUGCAUGAAUAUGCCUCUCCUCCCUACACACUCACUGACCACAGAGUUAUUUGCUAAACCUCUUCAGAACAUUGUAAGUGUCAAGCUGAAGGUAAAUGAAACCACAACUUUCCUUAGCCAGCACAGGAGGGAUUUGCUUUUUUGUUUUAGAAAAAGAUUAAUAAAAAUAUUGAAAAAAUUCUUCUCCUUUUAUAUAUUUUAACCUAAGUAGAAUUCAGCAGUUGCUUAGAAAACUAUGUUACCCUGGAAAGAACAUUCAAGUUCACAACCAGCUGCAAAGAGGAUACACACAAUGCCUACAAGCAGCGUGGGAUUCCAGCACACAAGGACCAGGUCUAGCGGCAUACACACUAAAAUGGGUGAAGAGCAGGGGGCAUUUUUGCCAUGCUAACUAUAACUUUCAGCAUAAAAGAAAAAAAUAAGGUGGUUUUAAAAAGACUCUAAACUCAACUGAUACAUACAAAAA